UUGCACCGAUCCCUUGCCAAAGGACUUGGUGCCGAUCACCAGGGCCCGAUGAUGAUCCUGCAACGCGCCGGCGACAAUCUCCGAGGCAGAAGCCGAACCGCUAUUGAUCAACACAGCCACCGGCAAACCUUGGGCCAAAUCCCCCACCUUGGCGUUGUAGCGAUGGGUUUCCUCCGGCCGCCGGCCUCUGGUCGAAACGAUCUCGCCCUUGUCCAGAAAAGCGUCCGAGACGGCAAUCGCCUGAUCCAGGGCGCCGCCCGGGUUGUUGCGCA
rnacentral:ncRNA from 1 species